rnacentral:rRNA from 1 species
GGAGAUUUGAAAGCUUGCUUUUCAAUCUUAGCGGCGGACGGGUGAGUAACACGUGGGCAACCUGCCCUUGAGACGGGGAUAACUCCGGGAAACCGGAGCUAAUACCGGAUAACACAUAUCUUCGCAUGAGGAUAUGUUAGAAGGUGGCUUUUAGCUACCACUCAAGGAUGGGCCCGCGGCGCAUUAGCUAGUUGGUGAGGUAACGGCUCACCAAGGCGACGAUGCGUAGCCGACCUGAGAGGGUGAUCGGCCACACUGGGACUGAGACACGGCCCAGACUCCUACGGGAGGCAGCAGUAGGGAAUCUUCCGCAAUGGACGAAAGUCUGACGGAGCAACGCCGCGUGAGUGAUGAAGGUUUUCGGAUCGUAAAGCUCUGUUGUUAGGGAAGAACAAGUACCUGUUAAAUAAGCAGGUACCUUGACGGUACCUAACCAGAAAGCCACGGCUAACUACGUGCCAGCAGCCGCGGUAAUACGUAGGUGGCAAGCGUUGUCCGGAAUUAUUGGGCGUAAAGCGCGCGCAGGCGGUUCCUUAAGUCUGAUGUGAAAGCCCACGGCUCAACCGUGGAGGGUCAUUGGAAACUGGGGAACUUGAGUGCAGAAGAGGAGAGCGGAAUUCCACGUGUAGCGGUGAAAUGCGUAGAGAUGUGGAGGAACACCAGUGGCGAAGGCGGCUCUCUGGUCUGUAACUGACGCUGAGGCGCGAAAGCGUGGGGAGCGAACAGGAUUAGAUACCCUGGUAGUCCACGCCGUAAACGAUGAGUGCUAAGUGUUAGAGGGUUUCCGCCCUUUAGUGCUG